rnacentral:pre_miRNA from 1 species
GAUUUCAACUGAAAAAGUCAUCAACAACAAAGCUGUAUAACUCAUCAAUAUCUAUAACUUCUAUUUUGGUCGUUUCUUCAUCUGACAAAGUGAUAGUAACAUUGCUCACAAAAUUUACAUCUCUCUCUUAGUAACAUUGCUCACAAAAUUUACAUCUCUCUCUUAUAGUUUAUAUCUGUUAUAGUUUUAUAAAUUUUGUGAGCAAUGUUACUAUCACUUUGUCGGAUGAAGAAAUGACCAAAAUAGAAGUUAUAGAUAUUGAUGAGUUAUACAGCUUUGUUGUUGAUAACUUUUUCAGUUGAAAUC